GGGUGAGUAACACGUAUGCAACCUCUCCCUGUCAGGGGGACAACCCGCCGAAAGGCGGGCUAAACCCGCGUACAUGCCACCGGGGCAUCCCGGAGGCAGGAAAGGCUUCGGCCGGACAGGGAUGGGCAUGCGGCGCAUUAGGCAGUAGGCGGGGUAACGGCCCACCUAACCGACGAUGCGUAGGGGUUCUGAGAGGAAGGUCCCCCACACUGGUACUGAGACACGGACCAGACUCCUACGGGAGGCAGCAGUGAGGAAUAUUGGUCAAUGGUCGGGAGACUGAACCAGUCAAGCCGCGUGAGGGAUGAAGGUACAGAGUAUCGUAAACCUCUUUUGUCAGGGAACAAAGGCGGGGACGUGUCCCCGGAUGAGUGUACCUGAAGAAAAAGCAUCGGCUAACUCCGUGCCGGCAGCCGCGGUAAUACGGAGGAUGCGAGCGUUAUCCGGAUUUAUUGGGUUUAAAGGGUGCGCAGGCGGUCUGUUAAGUCAGCGGUCAAAGCCCGGGGCUCAACCCCGGCCCGCCGUUGAAACUGGCAGUCUCGAGUUGGAGAGAAGUAUGCGGAAUGCGCGGUGUAGCGGUGAAAUGCAUAGAUAUCGCGCAGAACUCCGAUUGCGAAGGCAGCAUGCCGGCUCCACACUGACGCUGAGGCACGAAAGCGUGGGUAUCGAACAGGAUUAGAUACCCUGGUAGUCCACGCAGUAAACGACG
rnacentral:rRNA from 1 species